UACAGAGGUCCCGAGCGUUGUUCGGAUUCACUGGGCGUAAAGGGUGCGUAGGUGGUUGGGUAAGUCUGAUGUGAAAUCUCCGGGCUCAACCCGGAAAUGGCAUUGGAUACUAUCUGGCUAGAGGUUUGGAGGGGGGACUGGAAUUCUCGGUGUAGCAGUGAAAUGCGUAGAUAUCGAGAGGAACACCAGUGGCGAAGGCGGUUCUCUGGGCCUGUACUGACGCUGAGGAGCGAAAGCGUGGGGAGCGAACAGG
rnacentral:rRNA from 1 species